UAUUGGGUACCCUGGGUACGGAAUAAGCUAUUCCAUACCCGAGCUAGCCACCGCCCCCAGGGCCGCGCAGGCGCCCGGCUUCGGUUCCCCGCCGCACCGGUUCCUUUUCUGCGUACCCCCACCGCCCCGAAGCGGUUUCUUCUCCUCCCAGCUCGCGAUCCCUUCCCCCAGCCAGCCCCGGCCCAGAUACAUUUUCCGACGCCGCUCCUCUCAUCGUCAGGGACUGGCGCCGCCCAACCCCAGCUGAUGCUCCUCCCAUCGCCGAUCUGGAGUCUGGCGCCUCCCGUCACUGCUGAUCCGUUCCCGACGCCGCAUCUCAUCCCGACGCAGCACCUCCUCCCAUCGCCGCUCCCCUCCUCCGACGGUGAUCCCUCCUCCCAACGCCAUUCCACGAGACCGUCCUCCCGUCGUCGUCACCCCCAGGAGAUCCUACUAUGGCCCACCGACGAGAUCCUCCCCUGGCCUACCUUCAGGUCAUGGAGGAAUUGAUGGCACGGCGUGGAUGAAUCGCCUGUGUAUCCCCGCAUUCAAGGUGACGCCCUCCCGUUCCCGAUGCCGCUCACUCCUCCCGUCGCUGUCGAUCCUCCUCCAGCCUGCUCUCUGAUCAGGUGAUUCCCCCUCAUCUUUUGUUGUUCCUACGGUUAAUUCCGUGCAAGCUCUAGAUUUGUCUGCCGGUGCUCAUUCUUUGAUGAAUCGUCGCUGGUGGUUCCCCCGCUAGUGCAAGCACAGAUUGGUCCACAUAUGCAUAUCAACCCGAGCAGGGUGGUGUUCGAGCAGCUUCCGAUUUGGAUAAUAACUGGAUUCUUUGUUCUUUUGUGUGGCUAGUGAAGGAGUUUUUUAGCUUAGGUCUGUCACUGUAUUCUAAAUCUACUUCAUAGGGGCAUCUCCAGUGUUCAAAUCGAACUCAACUGAAAAGGUAGUGCCACGGAGGAUUUGUUCGAUUUCUACUGAAUCAAACGUAAUCACAGCAACGCGUUAGGGAUCCAUCAUAUAAUAAAAUACACCAUUUCUAUCUCACCAUCCUCAAGCUGUAGUCUUGAUGAGCACAUUGUACUAGCGCACUACUUUUUGCCCAUUAUUUAACUACCUCGGUUCGACUUGCCUUUAGCAUUUGAUGCAAGUAAUCUUUUGAUUCCGUUUGACCACUGCAGUGUCUAAAUCGAAUCAAAGUUCUGCUCUGUCCUAUCACGGUUCGAUUUCCAUGCACACUGGAGGUGCCCUAAUUCAUGCUUUGUAUGUCUUAUAUGGAGAAAGAAUAUGCAGAAAUGAAGCUCUUCCUUUGUGCUGAUCAUAGCUUUUUACUUAGUAUAUUCAGUCCUUUUCUUUGCCAUUAAAUUAUGAAAUCUCUGGUGCAUGUAUACCUUUGGACCUUGUUUGACCUAAAUAUUUACAUGUUCAUUGCAGCUGAUUAAUACUCGAUUGUUCAUGGAUACUAUUUAUGGGAUGAUGUUAAAGUUUUAAGGUUGCUCACUGUUACUUUGCUUAUGACACCUUGUAGGUUAGAUGGCAUCUAGUAAUCUCUGUUGCUUUAUUUUAGUUUUGAUGGCACUACUAUUAAUAUUGAGCCCCUCUAUACAGUGUCAGCAUGAUUGCAUAAAUGGAAUAAUCAUGGCUAAACUGAAAUGGCUCACCGAAUCUAAGAAUAAAGUAAACAAAAGAUCUGGAAACCUUAAACCAUUAGACUGGAUUGGAGAAAUUUUUUUCUUAAAAAUACACAGGUGCAUUGCUGCUGCGAUUCGGAUGAAUGAUAUGGUUGGACAAUCAUGGAAAAGCAGGUUGAACUUAGAAAUUGCUGGAAGCACACCAGACUAAGAUCCAGCAGCACAAUCUGAACUGCAGCGCUUUUUAGGUGCCAAGUAUAUUAAAAUGGCAAUGAGGCCAGUAUAUUAAAAUGUUUUUUUUGCAGAUGUGGUAGACACCACGAUCUCUAUUGACAGUGCCAUCUUUCAGCAGUACCCAUCAUCACCAUCAGGUGUUUAGGGAUAGUUCCCCUUGUUCAUCACUUGAUGGAUUUUGUGCAGAAAGCAUCAGUUGUACAGUAGAUAGAUUCUGAGUUUCAUGUAUGGAUGGUAUGUUUCGAGCCUAUGUGUAUAGAUUCUUAUAAAAAUAUAGUUCGGAGUGGCAGGUGAUGCCAUUUCGACUCCACCUGUGUUUAUGGUAUUUAUGAACUGGCUUAGAAAAAUGUGUGGUGUUUGUAAGAUAAUGAGAUUUUAGCAUCAACAUGUUUUGGUAUAUGAGAUUAGUAAACCAAAACAUUACUGUCUGUAUAUCGCGCAACUACAAAACAUUUUGUUUCUUUGGAGCACAAAACCUUUUGUUUUC